CCUACGGGGGGCAGCAGUGAGGAAUAUUGGUCAAUGGACGAGAGUCUGAACCAGCCAAGUAGCGUGAAGGAUGACUGCCCUAUGGGUUGUAAACUUCUUUUAUAAAGGAAUAAAACGAGGCACGUGUGCCUUUUUGCAUGUACUUUAUGAAUAAGGAUCGGCUAACUUCUUGCCAGCAGCCGCGGUAAUACGGAGGAUCCGAGCGUUAUCCGGAUUGAUUGGGUUUAAAGGGAGCGUAGAUGGGUUGUUAAGUCAGUUGUGAAAGUUUGCGGCUCAACCGUAAAACUGCACUUGAUACUGGCAGUCUUGAGUACAGUUGAGGUAGGCGGAAUUCGUGGUGUAGCGGUGAAAUGCUUAGAUAUCACGAAGAACCCCGAUUGCGAAGGCAGCUUACUAAACUGUGACUGACAUUGAUGCUCGAAAGUGUGGGUAUCAAACAGGAUUAGAUACCCCUGUAGUC
rnacentral:rRNA from 1 species